UAAUACGAAGGGGGCUAGCGUUGUUCGGAAUCACUGGGCGUAAAGCGCACGUAGGCGGAUGUGUCAGUCAGGGGUGAAAUCCCGGAGCUCAACUCCGGAACUGCCUCUGAUACAGCACGUCUUGAGUUCGAGAGAGGUGGGUGGAAUUCCUAGUGUAGAGGUGAAAUUCGUAGAUAUUAGGAAGAACACCGGUGGCGAAGGCGGCCCACUGGCUCGAUACUGACGC
rnacentral:rRNA from 1 species